rnacentral:tRNA from 1 species
GUCUCUGUAGCGCAAUGGAUAGCGCGUUGGACUUCUAAUCCAAAGGUCGUGGGUUCGAAUACCACCUGUGAUG